rnacentral:rRNA from 1 species
UACGGAGGGGGCAAGCGUUACCCGGAUUUACUGGGUGUAAAGGGUCCGCAGGCGGUUAAGCAAGUCAGUUUUUAAAUACCCUGGCUCAACCAGAGAAUUGGAACAGAUACUGCUUAACUAUGAGUCUAGAGGGGGAAAACGGAACUGCCGGUGUAGCGGUGAAAUGCGUAGAUAUCGGCAGGAACACCUGUGGCGAAGGCGGUUUUCUACUCUGGUACUGACGCUCAUGGACGAAAGCGUGGGGAGCGAUCGGG